rnacentral:lncRNA from 1 species
UCCAGCUUUAUGACCAGGAAUGUCUUUUCUUAUGAACCUGGGACUCAUCCUUUUGGAAUAUCGUUUACAAGGAAGAUGGCUGCCCUCUCUCCCAGCUUCUGUGAAAAGUGUUGCUCAAUGAAAGAAAAGAAAUUGCCCAAAAUCCAAGUUGACAAGAUAAUGCCAUUUACAAAUGGUGCACAAAACCCGCAGAGAUCAUCAACUUAGGGCACCAAGAUUUACACUUUAAUCAUCAGCAAUUUAUCUUACUGGAGCCAACAUGCCCGGUCUGUAAGUAUACUAUUAAAUGUUUGUAAUUUAAACAAACUACCCAACUAUCAAAUGCUGAAUCUCUAUAGAACUGCAUGUCCAUAGUGGAAAGUGUGAGUUGCCUUCCCGCAACCUAUCACUCUUGUCUUUCUUCCUAACUGAAGGUAACCCCUCUUUCUGACCCCAUCCACGUGCCUCUGGGGACCUGACCCCUCAAUCUGGCACCAGCAUGAGUUUGAUUUGUACCAAGGUAAUCCCAUUUCCUCAUCCAGCUCCCAACUCUGAUUAAUAAGGUGGGAGGGGAAUUCUGCUAUGGAAUUCCAGGAAAAUGUUCCUUUCUCCCGAGGGACAGCCGAGAAAGAAGGAAACAGUUCUGUGAAUAUUUCCGUAACUCUAUGGAGCUCCUGGAACUUCUGCCACCCUCUUGCUACCAACCUGUAGAGGAAACCAUCACGAACUUCAACAGAGAAACUGAGAACCUCAGCCCCUGUUGUCGUGGUUCAGCCACUGAGUCAACACACUCGGGGACCCACUUGUUUGAAUAAGCAUGUUGAGACUGCAUUUGCUGUAGCUGAAAGCAGUUAAUGACAAACACCUUUGUCAAUGGUGUGUUGCUGCUAUAUUUUACAUAUCCUUAUUGCAACACUUAUCACCUUGUAUUUGAGAAAUUGUUUUUUCUCUCCAGGACACUGUGAAUUUUUUUAGGGUAGGAGUAGUACUUUAUUCUCCUGUUAAGUCCAGAAUCAGGAACAAUGAUUGGCACACAGCAAGAGUUUAUAAAUUCUUGUUGAAUUAGAUUCCUUGGAUAAUUUUCAGUAUUCUUGUAGAUAACUCAAUCAACUUGGAUAUUUCUCACCAUUGACUUAAGAAAGCAGAGCAGACACUGUGCUGGGGACUUUGAGCAAUGCAGAGGAAUGGAGAAUGCCCCCCAAGAACUUAGAAGAGAUGGACAUUUGCAUUAUUCUCUGUAAUGACUGCACAGUGUGGUGAUGAGGAAACUGAGUCCAGCCUACAAAAGGCCACCGAGUUGAUUGAUUCGGAAGUUCGGUUGUGUUUGCUCCAGGUUAUCGGCAUUGUGCCUGCACUGAAUAAAAACAAGCAGCUCCAACUUCUCAGGGCUGCUCUCUGGCCACUAGAGCCAGGCAGUCACCUAGCUGCUGUUAUGCUGCAUACCUGUCUCUGAGUACUCGCUUCAUCCAUCGGCCAGGGUCUGUGGGACAGACCAGGCAGGUGGUGCCCCAUGUGAGGAACGCUGCAAUGGAUUGCAAGGGAACCCCUGAAAACAAAUGUGAAGUGACUGAGCAGCAAUUGUUGGAUCAAUGAACACAUCCUGUUUUUAUCACACACAUUCAGGCCCACAGCUCGCUGCCUGGUCCGCUGGCUCAUGGCAAUGAUCAAGCAGAUUUGCAGGUCAUGAGGUCACUACUUGACCAAGCCACACAAUCACAUCUAUUUUUUCAUCAGAAUUGGAGAACUUUAGCUAAACAAUUUCAACUUACCCAAAGACUAAACAAAUUAUUUUACAUUGCCCAGAUUGCCAGCUCACAGGCACAUCCCCUCCUUCAACAGGUGUUAACCUUAGAAGACUAGAACCUAAUGAGUUAUGGCAAACAGAUGUUAUGCACGUCCCUGAAUUUGGAAAACUAAGGGAAAGAGGAUAUGCUUGUGUUCACACCCCGUCAGGUCCUCUUUGGAUUCCAGCACGAGGCAUCAAACCAUACCAUGGCAUGGCUAGGACCCAACCCGGUACCAAAAUGAAGAAAAUGACCCUACAGGACCCACAAUCCCGGAUGAUGUGGCUUCCUUGGAUGACACAGGCCCUGGACAUUACCUGGGGGAUGCUGAAGAAGACAACUCAGGAGGCCAAGCAAAUCCUGCUCCAGGCACAGACACCAUUCACUCCAGGUAAUGUGUUCCUCGCUAUGCUGUUGUACAUUGCAACUCUCGUAGGUAAGGAAGCUGCCAUUCAUUCGACAUAAGUAGGUGCUUCAUCUGAUAAGCGCUGCUUGUGUAAUUUAUCAAUGACAGAGAAGGCAGAUAGCAGCAUGCAUACUUGGGGCUGCAUUUGAAGGAGAGCAACAUCCCUUUGUUUUCACAGAGGGAGAACAAGCAUGAGUUGAGAUUGUGGUGCUUCUUGAAGUCUCAUCCAGAUCAGAAACCUGCUGCUCUGUCCACAUUCCAUCCACCAAAGCAACCCAUAUGGCCAUGUCCAGCAUCAGAUGGGGAAAGGCAGUUCUCCUCUAGCACGAGGAGCUGCAAAGCCACAUGGCAAAGGAUGAGUGUGUAAAAAAUAAAUGCAGGAGGGCAGGAGGCAUUGGGAACAAUGAUCCAAUCUACUGCAGUGUGUUAUUCUCUCCAGCUUGGCAUGCGUUCCGUUCCCUGUGUACAGCAUCCUGCAGUGACAGGAGCUCACGCUGGUCCUUUAAUAUGGGCCAGAUACUGUGCUAAGCACAGCACAUGGUUUAUCUUGGUGUAGCCUCA